GAUGAACGCUGGCGGCGUGCCUAAUACAUGCAAGUCGAGCGAACAGACGAAGAUCUUGCUUGUAUGAAGUUACCGGCGGAUGGGUGAGUAACACGUGGAUAACUUGCAUAUAGGGAUGAGGUCACUUAGGGAAAGCGGAGAUAAUACCGGACAAGAGAUUGAACGGGAUGGUUCAAUAGAGCAAGACGGAUCUGCUGAGCCUAAUUGAUGGAACCGAGCCGCAUUAGCUAGUUGGUAGGGUAAAGGCCUACCAAGGCAACGAUGCGUAGCUGAUCUGAGAGGAUGAUCAGUCACACUGGAACUGAGACACGGUCCAGACUCCUACGGGAGGCAGCAGUGGGGAAUAUUCGACAAUGGGCGAAAGCCUGAUCCAGCCAUGCCGCGUGUGUGAAGAAGGUCUUCGGAUUGUAAAGCACUUUAAGUUGGGAAGAAGGGCUGUAUGUUAAUCUAUUGCUGUCUUGACGUUACCAACAGAAUAAGCCCCGGCUAACUUCGUG
rnacentral:rRNA from 1 species